CCUCCCAUAACUCCCCUCAACCCUGUUUUAGACCCUACAUCUUUCAUUUUCAAGGACCGAUCAAGUAGCGACCGAUCAGUGCAAAAAUAUUGAAGAAAAAGACUGACCCACAUGCUCCCAUUCCUCAGGACAAACUCGAAUAAACCAGUGAAGGAAUACAAAUCGGUUAUCAGCCAGUUACCAAUUUUCCACAACGAGGUGGAGAAACUGAAGAAACAUAUGUUGGAUGAACAUAUUAGAGCUAUCAAAAUGACUCCGUUCGGCUAUUUUCUGGACUGCCCGAAGAUGAGACUGCCGUGGCACUGCCUUCUUGACUUGUACACUUAUGGCCCGUGGUGAGGGAGACGCCCAAGUACGUAAGAUGUCGGCAUUAAGGUGACACUCUCGACUGCGGUUCUUUGGUUUGCAUAUUUGCUGAGUGUUACACCUAUGCGAAUCCGACAAUCCAUCCCAUUGGUGGCAUCGGUGGUGAAUUUGAUAAUGUGAAGAGUUACCACAGCCAAAAUAAUAAAACGUUUGCCCUCCGAACUGUAGACUCCGAUGAACAACACAAGAUAAGUGAACGUCUGUAAUGAAUUUGGAUGGAUUAAGGAUUGAUUUGGAUUUUGUUAUUUGUGAUUGAUUUGGGUAAUGUGUUUUCGGAUUGAACAGUUGGUUGAAUUGGUUUGA